rnacentral:ncRNA from 1 species
GGCUAUGAUGAAACCCCAAAGCGUUCAUAGCGACGUUGCUUUUUGAUCCUUCGGCUCUUCCUAUCAUUGUGAAGCAGAAUUCACCAAGUGUUGGAUUGUUCACCCACCAAUAGGGAACGUGAGCUGGGUUUAGACCGUCGUGAGACAGGUU